UAGGGAAUCUUCGGCAAUGGACGAAAGUCUGACCGAGCAACGCCGCGUGAGUGAAGAAGGUUUUCGGAUCGUAAAACUCUGUUGGUAGAGAAGAACGUUGGUGAGAGUGGAAAGCUCGUCAAGUGACGGUAACUACCCAGAAAGGGACGGCUAACUACGUGCCAG
rnacentral:rRNA from 1 species